UACGAAGGUGGCAAGCGUUGUUCGGAUUUACUGGGCGUACAGGGAGCGUAGGCGGUUGGAUAAGCCCUCCGUGAAAUCUCCAGGCUUAACCUGGAAAGUGCAGAGGGGACUGUUCAGCCAGAGGAUGGGAGAGGAGCGCGGAAUUCCGGUGUAGCGGUGAAAUGCGUAGAGAUCGGGAGGAAGGCCGGUGGCGAAGGCGGCGCUCUGGAACAUUUCUGACGCUGAG
rnacentral:rRNA from 1 species